CCCUUAGAUGUUCGGAGCUGCACGCGCGCUACACUGAAGGAAGCAGCGUGUUAGAGCACCUGGCUUGAAAGAGCUGGGUAAUCCGGUGAAUGUCCUUCGUGAUUGGGAUAGGGACUUGUAAUUAUUUCCCUUGAACGAGGAAUACCUAGUAAGUGUGAGUCAUCAGCUCGCGCUGAUUACGUCCCUGCCCUUUGUACACACCGCCCGUCGCUCCUACCGAUUGAAUGGUCCGGUGAGGUUCUCGGAUUUUUUCUGUUGUUUGGUUCGCUAAACGAUUGAAGAGAGAAGUUACCCAAACCUUACCAUUUAGAGGAAGGAGAAGUCGUAACA
rnacentral:rRNA from 1 species